GUGGUCCAGCAGCCGCGCCUACGGGAGGCAGCAGUAGGGAAUAUUGGUCAAUGGAUGGAAGUCUGAACCAGCCAUGCCGCGUGCAGGAAGAAGGCCUUCUGGGUUGUAAACUGCUCUUGCCAGGGGCUAAAAAGCUCAUGCGUGAGAAGUUGAAAGUACCUGGUGAAUAAGCCACGG
rnacentral:rRNA from 1 species